CGUGUGUAAAGGUAGUGCCAAGAAAAGCGAUGAUCAUGUUGAAAAUCAAUUCCCGGUACCCGAAACCGACACAGGUGGGCAAGUAGAGAAUACUAAGGGGCGCGAGGUAACUCUCUCCAAGGAACUCGGCAAAAUGACCCCGUAACUUAGGGAGAAGGGGUGCCACCGAGAGGUGGUCGCAGUGAAGAGGCCCAGGCGACUGUUUAGCAAAAACAUAGGUCUCUGCAAACUCGAAAGAGGAGGUAUAGGGGCUGACGCCUGCCCAGUGCCGGAAGGUUAAAGAAGUUGGUCAGUUUUAGGAUGAAGCUAGCGACUGAAGCCCCGGUGAACGGCGGCCGUAACUAUAACGGUCCUAAGGUAGCGAAAUUCCUUGUCGGGUAAGUUCCGACCCGCACGAAAGGCGUAACGAUCUGGGCGCUGUCUCGGAGAGAGGCUCGGCGAAAUAGGAUUGUCUGUGAAGAUACGGACUACCUGCAUUUGGACAGAAAGACCCUAUGAAGCUUUACUAUAGCUUGGAAUUGUGUUCGGGCUUCCUGUGCGCAGGAUAGGUGGGAGGCGUAGAAGGUAUUCUUGUGGGGAUACUGGAGCCAACGGUGAGAUACCACUCUCAGGAGGCUAGAAUUCUAACUUAAUUAAGGACAGUUUCAGGUGGGUAGUUUGACUGGGGCGGUCGCCUCCAAAAAGGUAACGGAGGCGUACAAAGGUUCCCUCAGACUGGUUGGAAAUCAGUCGAAGAGUGCAAAGGCAGAAGGGAGCUUGACUGCGAGAAGUACAGUUCGAGCAGGGUGGAAACACGGUCUUAGUGAUCCGACGGUGCUGUGUGGAAGGGCCGUCGCUCAACGGAUAAAAGUUACUCUAGGAUAACAGGCUGAUCUCCCCCAAGAGUUCACAUCGACGGGGAGGUUUGGCACCUCGAUGUCGGCUCAUCGCAACCUGGGGCGGAAGUACGUCCCAAGGGUUGGGCUGUUCGCCCAUUAAAGCGGUACGUGAGCUGGGUUCAGAACGUCGUGAGACAGUUCGGUCCAUAUCCGAUGUAGGCGUGAGAAUAUUGAGAGGAGCCUUCCUUAGUACGAGAGGACCGGGAAGGACGCACCGCUGGUGUACCUGUUAUGAUGCCAAUUGUAAACGCAGGGUAGCCAAGUGCGGAGAGGAUAACCGCUGAAAGCAUCUAAGUGGGAAGCCCACCUCAAGAUGAGUAUUCUGGUGUAAGGUCACGGGAAGACGACCCGUAAAUAGGCACGAGGUGGAAGUGCAGAGAUGUAUGAAGCCGAAGUGUACUAAUAGACCGUCGGCUUGACC
rnacentral:rRNA from 1 species